UAGAUCUGAAUACUGCAGCUGGCACCAAAGAACACUUCUAAUCUGCCUCUUCAAACACAGUUUGUCUCUCUGGCAGUGCCCUAAAUGGUGUUUAUCAUCGUAUCAAAGUGAGGUAAUGAGCCAAGACAGCCCUGCCAUUUCGGAGAAAACAACACCACAAAAGCUUCUUCCCUAAUUGAAUCAUGGUGGAAAGCGUGAUGUUCAAGAGAAAAGCAUUUCUAUGUAUUACAAGUUAUAAUAAAAUCAAUAAGAUGCA